rnacentral:rRNA from 1 species
AACGAACGCUGGCGGCAUGCCUAACACAUGCAAGUCGAACGCGUGUAGCAAUACACGAGUGGCGGACGGGUGAGUAACGCGUGGGAACCUGCCCAGUGGUAGGGAAUAACUGCGGGAAACUGCAGCUAAUACCCUAUGAGCCCUACGGGGGAAAGAUUUAUCGCCAUUGGAGGGGCCCGCGUCGGAUUAGCUAGUUGGUAGGGUAAUGGCCUACCAAGGCGACGAUCCGUAGCUGGUCUGAGAGGAUGAUCAGCCACACUGGGACUGAGAUACGGCCCAGACUCCUACGGGAGGCAGCAGUGGGGAAUAUUGGACAAUGGGGGAAACCCUGAUCCAGCAAUGCCGCGUGAGUGAAGAAGGCCUUAGGGUUGUAAAGCUCUUUCGGCGGGGAAGAUGGUGACGGUACCCGCAGAAGAAGCCCCGGCUAACUUCGUGCCAGCAGCCGCGGUAAUACGAAGGGGGCUAGCGUUGCUCGGAAUCACUGGGCGUAAAGGGCGCGUAGGCGG